rnacentral:sRNA from 1 species
AUGUACGCCCGUACAUUCCGGUUCCUCCGCGCCGUCCGCACCCAUCUGACAGCUGCUCGCUACGUUUUGUUAGCC